KAGAGAUGGCUGAGUGGUUGAUAGCCCCGGUCUGRAAACUGGUAUAAUU
rnacentral:tRNA from 1 species